UACGUAGGUGGCAAGCGUUGUUCGGAAUUAUUGGGCGUAAAGAGCUCGUAGGCGGUGUGUCACGUCGGCCGUGAAAACCUGCAGCUUAACUGUGGGCGUGCGGUCGAUACGGGCAUCACUGGAGUUCGGCAGGGGAGACUGGAAUUCCUGGUGUAGCGGUGAAAUGCGCAGAUAUCAGGAGGAACACCGGUGGCGAAGGCGGGUCUCUGGGCCGAUACUGACGCUGAGGAGCGAAAGCGUGGGGAGCAAACAGG
rnacentral:rRNA from 1 species